UAUACUGUACUGUACUGCUAAUACUACCAUACAGCCCCUUCAGCAGGUAGGAUUUAUACUGUACUGUACUGCUAAUACUACCAUACAGCCCCUUUAGCAGGUAGGAUUUAUACUGUACUGUACUGCUAAUACUACCAUACAGCCCCUUCAGCAGGUAGGAUUUAUACUGUACUGUACUGCUAAUACUACCAUACAGCCCCUUUAGCAGGUAGGAUUUAUACUGUACUGUACUGUACUGCUAAUACUACCAUACAGCCCCUUCAGCAGGUAGGAUUUAUACUGUACUGUACUGCUAAUACUACCAUACAGCCCCUUCAGCAGGUAGGAUUUAUACUGUACUGUACUGUACUGCUAAUACUACCAUACAUCCCCUUCAGCAGGUAGGAUUUAUACUGUACUGUACUGCUAAUACUACCAUACAGCCCCUUCAGCAGGUAGGAUUUAUACUGUACUGUACUGCUAAUACUACCAUACAGCCCCUUCAGCAGGUAGGAUUUAUACUGUACGGCUAUUUCUGUUUCUUAUUUUUAAUUCAUGUGAAAACAUUUCUAAAAAUCUGUUUUCCCUUUGUCAUUAUGGGGCAUUGUGUGUAGACUGAUAAGGAAAAAUGAAUGUAAACAAUUUUAGAAUAAGGCUGUAACGUAACAAUAUGUGGAAAAAGGGAAGGGGUCUGAAUACUUUCCAAACUUUCCCUGAACAUACAGACAAGAAUGUAUAUCAAUCACAAAUGCUUUAUUUUAUUCAACUUUGCCUUUUAUUUCACUUAAAGGAUGUAUGUAACGUCAUAGGAUGAAACGGGGAUGUAUGUAACGAAGAUGUAUGUAACGUCUUGGGAUGAAACGGGGCUGUUAUCAGCAGACAUGUUGAAGGAACUUUAUUAAACUGUUAUUUGAGA